CAUCACACAAUUCAAACUUCACCUGCUAUUUGGGCACAGAGAAAGGAGAGGAAAAAAAUCAGAUUUACAAAAUAUGUGCAGCUAUAUAUUGAGCAUUGUCACAGUAUAAUGUGGUGCACGUAAUUGAUGAUUGCAUUUGCAAACUUGCAUAAAAGGCGAUUUCAAUCAAACGCAACCCUAAGGCCUCGUUUAGUUAAGGGGAUUGGGAAGGUUUUGAGAGGAAAAUCCCCGGAAGGGCCAGAAACCCCACGGAUCCUCGGAUGCCCAUUUGAUAGGAGGGGUUUGCUUAGCCCAAUCCCCUCCGUUCCCCUUCAAUCCUUUCCUAUCCAUGUGUUUCAAAACCCUCCUCGGGAGACUAGUGGAAGCAAAGCCCGGGGAUUUGAGAGGAUUGGGUGAAACAAAGGGAUUCACCCAAUCCCCUGAAAUCCCUCCCUUUCAAAACCUCCCCAAUCCCCCUUAACCAAACGAGGCCUAAGGGAACAAAAUAUCCAGAACAAAGAAAUCCACUAGAAGAAGCCAAACUGGACAUCAUAAAAUGAAAUGCUAUUAUGUACUGCUAAAAUCCGUAACAACCUUUGUAAUGGAGUUGCGAGCUAAUUCUCAAUUAACAAUAACUAUUAUCAGUAGCCACUACAGAAAGCUAGAAGUGCAACAGGAAAAUUGUAUAAUCUUCAACAGGUCCCCUAAGGCCUUGUUUGGUAAUAGGGUUUCUGAGGAGAUUGGUGGGGAUAAUGGUUCCUACCUGGUCGCUAUCAUUCUCAGGUCGGGCAAGGCCCCCCCCCCGCUCCCUAGGGUUCCUCCCACCCUCCUCCCGCCGCCGACGGCCGUCCACGCCCCCUCCCCCUUUCCCCCUCCCAGAUCCGCCCCGUGUCGUCUCCCCGGGAGGUGGCCGGGGCGGCGCGAGCUCCUCCCCUCUUCGGCCUCCCUUCGUGCCCCUUCCUUCCCUGCCCCGCCGACGGUCACCCCCGGCGCUUGGGCGGGUGGUGUUGGCGGCGGCGGGACUGUCUGUCCCCGCGUGUGCGGCUCCCUGCCUGGGGCAUGGGGGCGGCGGCGGUGCUCCUCGACUCGGCGACGGUCCGGUGACCCGACAGGAGUGGCCGGCGACGCGUGAGGUAGUGGUGUUGCCCCUUGGCGAUGAGACGGCGUGGUGAUGCAGGGUGGCCUGCGGCGCGCCCCCGGCCCAAAUCUGGGCCCUGUGGGCCCCAUCUGGGUCCUAGCGGGCCGGCUCCCGGCGUGGCUUCAUCGUCGUCUGUGUGGUGGUCAGGAGGAGGAGCUCGGACGGGGGUAGCGACGCCGAUGGCGCGCUUGCUGCAGCGCGAUGGCGGGAGCUUUACGGGCGUUGAGGGCCCGGUCGGGCCUGUGGGCCCACGGGCCUGGUAUGCUCCUGCUAUUGUGCCCGGUCGGCUACCGUCGUCGACGGUGGAGGUUGUACCCUCCCGCGUGCCGACGGUGUUCUGCCCCCUAGUCCCGGCUCCUAUUCCCCGCUGUGCAGGCCUCACUUCAUGGUGCCGUGGUGAGACGGCGUGGAGGCUUCAUGACCGCGGUGGUGCAAGAUGGUGGUCGGUUUGGUUGCAGGCUCUGGAGCAUCCGAGGUGAAGGUUGGGAUCGGGGGAAACCCCCGUUGGCCUGGCCGACACCUACGUGGCGACGCCGGUGGGUGCCGCCAGACCAUCCUGGAGGGCGUCGGGGGCGACCCUUCCUCUUGCCUCGUCACGUACCGGGGGAAACCCUUGGCAGCAGCGUCGUCAUCGUCGCGGUCCUUCUUGGAGGUGUUGAUUGGUACCGGUGCUUCGAAGCCUUGGAGCUUGGUGGGAGAUCUUCGGUGGGCGCAGUGGUCGUGAAGCGUCUUCGUUUCCGUCGAUCCGCCAUUGUCGGCAUUUUUCUCUUGUUGUUUCUGUUUCGUUUCUUUUGGGUGUGAUUGUGCUGCUUCCGCCCCAACACCUAAUGUUGAUUGUAUCAGAUGGUUGCUUUGUAAUACAAAGCGGGAGAAACCCUUUUCGGUAUUGGUGGGGAUAAUCCCCACAGGAUUGGGUGAAACCCCAACCUUCACACGAUUCCUUCAAAUCCCCGUUUAUCCCCAAUCCACUAGGUAGGGGUACUGUAUUGUGUAUUGAAAAAAUGCACUAGAAUUUGAGAAUUUAUGGGGAAAUGUGGGGAUGAAACAUGUCAAAUACACUAGAACCAAAUGAUGUUAUGGGAUAUGUGAGGAUUUAGGGGUUUGAUCUCCACUAUUCCAAACAAGGCCUAAGUUUAAUUGAACCACUCGUAAAUAAUUACAACAAGUAUUUUGAAACAUGCAGUCUGUGCAGUUCACUGUACUAGCUAGGCGAAUUCGUCAAUAUACAUGGUGUAAUGAAGUUGCUUCUUUGUAGCUUCGAAGUUGUCCGAUGUAACAUCAUAGUUGUUCUAAGAAAAGUUCAUCGAAACAUACCUAUGUCAGAUCUAGUUUUAAAGAAUUCAUCGUGAGAAACCUAAUGAUGAAAGCGAAUAUGAAUUCUGAUACUCAAAUAAAAAGUAUGCUUUUUAAAUUUUGUAAAGCCCAAAUAAAUGCACACACUUUUUCUGAUUUGUACAAAAUAUGGAGCGCUCAAAGAAAUGAGGCCUAAAUACUUCCAUUUUUUGUAGUAUAAUGAUGACACGUUAUCUUUAUGGCAUGUCUACUCGGAUGCAUCCCGUGUUGUGUGAAUUUUUUAUCAUGUAUUGCGUGCAUUUAGAAAAUUCAAUUAGUGCAGCUGCACUAAUAAGUACUCCCUCUGUCUCAAAAUUCUUGUCUUAAAUUUGUCUAAAUACAAAUUUACCUAGUCACGUUUUAGUGGUAGAUACAUCCGUAUUUUGAAAAAUCUAAGACAAGAAUUUUGGGACGGAGGGAAUAUUUGGGUAAUUUAAACUGAAACUGUUGAGCGAGAUUGUAGAAAAGUGGACUUGCACAGAAGAUGACUAUAAUUUACAUGUGACAAUAUACAUACAGCGGGAUUGGUUACCUCGAGGGGAGGCGCUGCAAUUAAGUCCUCAGAUACGUUACCCAAAAUUAUCAGGUCUUUCAAAGAAUGUUACCGGGAGGAUGUGAAAUUUGGUCAGCUUUUUUUUUGUCUUGCCUACGUGAGUCAAUAUAUAAUUGGUCAAGACAAUUUAAUAGCUUACUAGGAGUUGAGGGGUUACAUGGAAUUAAUAAUUAAAAAAUGUAUGGACAUCCGUUGGCCAAAAUUGAGCUUGGAAAAUUGCACAAACUUCAUCGCGCCAACGUAAGAAUGGGAGGUCAAAAAUAAGGUCUUGUAAAAAUAGACAUCACGAUUUGUGUAUGAUAGUCAAACUAAUAUUUUUUUUGCACUUUGAUUUAUGUAUGGUGUGAUCAAAACUAUUGUAAAAGAUUGUACCAGAAGUACUGUAUGCGUAGCAUGGUUCUUUUUUCUUUAGUUGAAAUUGUUGCAAGUUUAUGGAAUCGUCAUGGGAUGUGUCUAGCAUGGUUCUUAAUAUGCGGUCAAUGUACAUUUCCGCCAGACCUCCGCAUGUGCCUCCUUUAUUAUCUUCGGGUGGCGCCAUCUGAAUGUUGUCGUAUCGCGUUAAUGGACUUUUCGGUGACCACCUCCCCGGUGUCGUCAAAUGGUACCGUUGGAUGUUGUCUUGUAGCUGAUGAAUGUUGUCAUCAAAAUUUUAGUUUACGUGACGUUUGGAUGUGCACAUCAAGUAUCUCUCGCACGAUCAUAUGUACUAGUCAAUACAAACACAAGUAAUAUGUAGGGUUUUAUUUUUAAAUAGAGGCCGAACCUGGAUAAAAGCUCAUGCCCCUGUUAUAACGUGUCAAAGCUACUCCUCCUAGUUCGGGGCCCCUAUCCAAGUUCUGCCGGGUUCCACUCCUCAUUGAUUGUCGUCCAUGAAAGUUUCGCAAUUUUUUUUUCAAAAGUACUACCUAUUUUGUACCAAAUUCGAAAAGCAUAUGUUGAAAUUAAAAAAAAAAUCAUAAAUAGCACCCCGUCGGCCUCUGGUAGGCCGAAGGGGGUCCUGUCGGCUGGCGGGAGGCCGAAGAGGGCCCGCCGGCCCGCGGGUGGCCAAAGAGCCUGUUAUCGGCCCACGGUUGGCCGAAGAGGACCCGUCGGCCUCCAAGAGGAUGAAGAGACCCUGAUAAGGCCGACCGAGCCCUUCUUCCUCCUCAGUCGCUGACUCCUCUUCUCUCUCUCUCUCUCUCUCGUUUUCUUCCCUCAUUUUGCCCCCUCCGAUCUCCUCCAUCCUUCACCUAUUUUCUUAUGUAAUAGUUGAAUUUGUAUUGAACUAUUCAGUACUAGAAUUUUAUUGAAUUAUGCAGCAGAAUUAUCCAGUAGUAUCAGUAAUUAUGUUUUUUUAACUAAGCUCAUGCUCGAAAAUUGUUCUCAAAAUUGCAUAUUACAAAUAAAAACAUAGUCUGACAUAGUACACAUUAAAACAUAGUUCAGACAUAUUACAAAUUAAAACGUAGGCCGACACAUUAUGUAGCUUCUGAGUUAUUUAUUCCUCGUCCACCCCUUCGGCCUCGACUGCCACGUCCACCGCGACCACCUCUUGCUAUUAUUGUCGCAGUCGUCAAUAUGGAAGCACUCGUCGAUGUGGAAGCACCAUCUGUUUUUUGGUCGGGGCAAUAUUUCAUCCUAUGUCCAUAAGUCGCGCAGAGCAAACAUUGUCUGGUUGCUCCACCAGCUUUAGAUUGUUCCAUAUCAUUUCAGAUGCGCUUUACCUUACGUCUGCCCCUGCUAGUUCGCCGAACUCCAGGAUCCGGGAUGUAAACUCUCUCACCAUCGUUUACCUUGUUGAAAUUGCCGAUGACUAAACCCUGUCAUCUCACCUGUCUAGACAUUGAGUACUGCAUCUUUUGAAUAAUACGGAGACACGAAGGAGAUAGCGUCUAACUCAAUCUAGCCACAGGCAGCCAAGAGAUGUGAGCAAGGCAGGUGCAACAACUGGGGUUUGUUGCAUGUACACUCACAAGUUGGAUAAAAUUCUGUUCCGAUUUUAACCUCAUGUGUCUUCACCUCAUUUGCAGAAUCAAAACCAUCAGUAGGAAGAUGAACCUCAUACCUUCUUUCCUGAUUACCUAUGAGUGUGACAGUGUGCUUUUUUGCUUUCUUUAUCUUCUGAGCCAUGUACUCCAUGACACGGCUACAAUAAGAUGUUUUCUGAUUAACUGCAAUAUGCUUCUUUGCUAGCUCGUGCCUUUCUCUGAAAUAUCUCAAAGUCCCAUGCAAUACACCCUCCACAAUAGCUGUCAGUGGUAAUGCUCUAUUCCCUCUGAGUACAAAGUUAUACACCUCUGCAAGAUUGGUUGUCAUGUGUCCAUACUUGACUCCAUGGGCGUCACCCAACAAAGUCCAAUUCACUGGAGGCUCUUUCUCUAUCCACUCAGAAAAAUUCUUUAUUGCCCUGCCCUUAUUUCUCUUUGUAUUAGGAGGGUCAAUUGCUGGCAAGUCACAAAGACCUACUCGCUCCUCUAGCUCCGCGAUGAGUGCUGUUAAUUUAACCUGGUCCUUUUCCAUUUUCUUCCUAGCAAGGACCUGCUUCUUAGUAAACUCAUCUAGUUUUGACCAAAUAAAUUUGUAUUUGCACUGCUGGUUCUGCUUGCAUAACUUUUUGAACAAGUUCAUCAACCGUUUGUUCUUGAAUUGAGAGAAAAAAAAAUGUACCCAGAUGGCGCAUGCACCACCGGCUUUGCAAGUCCUUCCAAUGUGUUGGCUCGUCAGCUGUUGGAUUACUUAGUGUCUUCACGACCUUUAAUAUACCAUGAUGUUUGUCAUGAAUGACACACACGUUUGGUCGGUCCUUCACGAUCGCAAUUUUAACUUGCCGGAAGAACCAUACCCAGCUCGGAAAGUUCACACCCUCCACAAAUGCCAUGGCUAGUGGGAUGAUUUGGUUGUUCCCGUCCACACCAAUAGCAGUUAGGAUUUGCCCUUUGUACUGACCAGUCAGGAAUGUACCAUCUAAAAAUAUAACAAGAGGACAAUGCCGAAAAGCUUCGAUGCACAAACCGAAAGAGAAGAAUACUCGUUUCAACACCUUGUAAUCUGGUAUAAUCUCCAACCACGUGUGUUGUAUGUUAACAUAAGUGUCGGGAUUCCUCUCCUUCAGUAUGUCAAGGAGACGGACAACAUUGUCAUAUGAGUCGAAGAACGUCCCAAACCUUUCCUCCAUAGCCUUAUGCUUAGCCCUCCAAGCGUUCCCAUAUGGAAUGUCAUAAUUCCAUCUGACCUUCACUGCUUUCUAGAUAUGUUUUGCUUCCAUAUCUUUCUUCUCAACUAUCUCAGUAUACAUGAGUUGCGCUAUGAGAGUUGAAGUCAAGUUUGUAUGACGAACCAAUAGGUUUUUCCUCACACAAUUAUGUGAGACCACAUUGUUGACAACCCAGUGGAUGUUAUACUUCGGCACGUGCCCGUGCACCUUCGCAGGACAACCUGUUUCAACACACUUCACGGUAUAUUUUGUUGGACUCGAUAUGUAUGUCCGAAAAAACCUCUACGUAGACAUAGCUCACUUUAUCACCGCAUACUUUAAUUUUUCUUUGUGUCAAACAUAGCCCUGAUUUGGACUUGGUUCAGAUUAUAUUGCCAUGGAGGCCAUCGUUGACAAUAAUGCCGGCGGAUAUGUCCUGAUCCCAUGUAGAAGGAAUCGGUACCUCCACUUCAUCCUCGAAAUUUUCAGAAUCCAGAUCCUCCGAAACCCAUCCUUGUUCUCUUCCUCCAUCACCCUGUGCAUUUCAUCGCCUUCCUCAUCCCCAUCAGCAACACCAGAGCCAGCUAAUACUAUCGACUGAAUACUCUGCCCAGUAUCAUGACACUAACAUUGUGUGGCACAUAAUAUGACUCUUUCUCGGCUUGGCUAGCAUCCACAUCCGGUGGCUGUGACCCGGAUACAUAAAUCUCGUUAGCCACUUGACUACCCUGGCCUGGUUCAUAUCCCAUGUUGACUUGUACGAAAUUCUCCUCCUUCGCCACUGGUUGCACUAGAGCAUAUGGGUGGAUUCUUCGGUCUCUGGAACGACUUAACAUGGACAACCAAUGCUGGCUCCUAUCUAUCAGCAUCAACUCCCAUUUGACAUUUUUACAGGAUCUGGUCCACAGUGCAUGAAUACUGACGGAACAGACUUCAGGAUCGAGUCCAAAACUAGUAGUCAACCGGUGCUUCAAUUGCCUAAUGUCCAGUCUGUCCGGGUCUAAAAGUGUAAUGGCGCCUUUUUUAAACUUGCUAAGAUCAACCCCCAACUCAUUAUAUCGAACAUUACCAGGGCCGUAAUAAACAGUCAAAUUUACGGGUUCAAACAUUUUCACCUGUCAAACAUUGCCAGCUUGUCAUUAUUCGCAACGAACAAAUUUAUACAAAAAUAAAGUACAUACACUAAAUAAACCUACAAUAAAAAGAACCUACAGUAAAAAAUCGGUAUACCUUCGACGCGUGUGUCCCCUUCUUCUUCCUCUUCACCACACCACCUCCUCACCAUCCACACCUCCACCACCCCACCAUGGCUCCUCCAAACGAACAAAAAACUACCCAUGACACAAAAUGAGACCGUAGGUAGGCCGAUGGAGAUGGGUAUGAUCUAUUGUUUUAGCAGAUUAAAUAGGAAAAUGGGUGGAGAAUAGAUGAGAUCAGAGGGGGAGGGCAAAAUGAGGAAAGAAAAACGAGAGAGAGAAGAGGAGUCAGCGACUGAGGACGAAGAAGGGCUCGGUCGGCCUUAUCCAGGGGCUCUUCGGCCUCCUGGAGACCGAGGGUCCUCUUCGACCAGCCGUGGGCCGACAACAGGCUCUUCAGCCACCCGCGGGCUCACUGGCCCUCUUCGGCCUCCCGCUAGCCGAUAAGACCCCCUUCAGCCCGCCAGAGGCCGACGGAGUGCUAUUUUUGAUUUUUUUUUCAAUUUUAACAUACAAUUUCUGAAUUUGGUACAAAAUAGGUAGUAUUUUUGAAAGAAAAUCAAGUUCCGCUAUGUAAUGGCAUACAUUCGAUGGGAUCAAGGUUAGGCCGAGCUCCCUCAUCUCCUAUGCCCGUGGUGGAUUGGAUGGAGCUUUCCCGACUAGCUAGGCCGCGAGCACGUGACACGGUCGCUGGACCAUGCAUGGCGAGGCGUCGACGCCGUCCAUGGUGGUUGGCGGCCGCGCGCCGUGCUACAAGGACGAGACACCGCCGUCCAUGGCGACAUCCCAUGCAUCCCAGUCUGCCACCACCUUCCUUGGACGACCAGUCGUGCUGCCCAACGUGUUAGAAUCUUGUACACAUGUAUGUCAUAUAAAUGUAUAGAUCCACAUUUAUAGAAUCAUGGCCUGCGUGCCUAUCAUGUAGGGGUUAGUGGACCUCUUGUAUAUAAGUGUACUCUUGUCACAUAAUCAAUCAAGGGUGAACAUAAUCUCUCCAACUUGGUAUCAGACACCAGACACCUCCCAUGGACGCGCACGCCUCCUCCCCUGCGCUCGGCACCGCCUCCUCUCCGGCGAUCGGCGACACCACCCCCGACGGUUCUUCCCCGGCCCUUCUACUCUUCACCACCCCGGCCGCCCCCGUCACCUCGGCCGCCACUGCGGCCUCCUCCGCGACGACCGUCGCCGCCGCCUCCCACCCCUUUGUCUUCCAGACGAGCGCCUCCUCCCGGGCAUCUGGCUCCGUCGCCCCUCGGUCCACCUUCGCCCCCCCUCUUCUCCUCUACACCUCCGGCGCCUCCUCCCCCACCGCGGCAUCCCAUUUUCAAUGACCACAUCACCAAUCACAUCAAGUUUCUUCUCAAUCCUGCAUAUCACAAUUACCACAAAUGGAAGUCCUUCUUCCUCAUGGUCCUCGUCCGCUACGGCGUGACCUAUCUCCUUGAUCACCCUCCUCCACCCAACGCCGAUGCUCAGUACCUUGAGCUCGACGCCCACGUCGCCUUAUGGCUCUACGCCACCCUCGCCGACUCCAUGGCCGAUCACGUCGUCGGUGCCACCACCUCCUUUGCCAUAUGGAAGAAGAUCCAGGACUACUUCCUCUCCAAUCGCGCCGCGCGUUUCAUGAUCCUCAACCGCCAGUAUCGCAAUCUCAAACAGGGUGAUCUCCCCGUUCGGGAGUAUGCCCGCCGCAUGAAACUCCUCACGGAUGGCCUCGCCGACAUUGAUCACCCGUCUCUGAGAUCGACCUCACCACUCAGUUCCUCCACGGCCUCGAAAAGCGUCUCGACACCAUCCGUGUCGUGUUGGGCGACCAAGAACUUCCCUUCGACGUCGUCCUCUCUCGGGUCACUCUCGCUGAGGAGUCCAUGACCCAGCGUGCCGCCGAGGAAGGCGCCUCGGCGUUCGCCAUCCACGGCGGUGGCUCCUACGCCUCCUCCAACUCUGGCGGCGGCAGCCGCGGUCAGGGCGAUCGGCCUAACGAUCGUGGCUUUGACCGCUCUCAGACCGCCCCGCAUGCUCCUUCUCCGGCGGGUCGUGGUGCCCGCAACGGUGAUGGUGGUGAUCGCGGUCGUGGCCGUGGGCGUGGCCGCACUCCCGCUCCCGCCUCGCCUACGGCUCCCUUCACCGGCUACUUCGCUCCGUACGGCAUGGCUAUCCCUCCUUCGCGCCCCGGUUGGGUCCCUCCCAACGCUGCUGGUGUUCUCGGGCCUCGCCCGGGAUCUCACGCCCAUGCCUACCAGAUCCAGCACACCGUGCCCCAGCCGCAUGCCGCACACUACCCACCGGCGCUCUACUACCCGCCGCCCCCACCGUCAUGGGAUCACGUCGCCCAUGCUGAAUGCCUCCCACAGCCACGGUGCUCCUUCGGCCACCCCACCACCGGACUGGUUCCUCGACAGUGGUGCGACCUCUCACAUCACCGGCAACCCAGGUAUCCUCUCCCCGUCUAGUUCUUCAUUUAAGCAUUCUGUUCCGUCUAUCGUCCUUGUUGGCAAGGGGCAUCGCCUUCCAAUCACCGCCACUGGCUCCACCACUCUAUCUCCCACCCCUUUCACCCUCCGCGACGUCCUCGUCUCUCCCACCAUAGUCACCAAUCUCAUUUCUGUUCGGCAAUUUACUCGCGACAAUUUGUGCUCUAUUGAAUUUUACCCUUAUGGUUUCAUUGUGAAGGAUCUUCGCACGCGGAAGGUGCUCCUGAUCUCCACUAGCUUCGAUGGCCUCUACCCACUCUUCGUCUCCAGCACCAACCGGCCUACUGCGAUGGCCGCCACCACCUCCAUGUCGGAUCUUUGGCACCAACGUCUCGGCCACCCCGGCACCCCGUCAUUCUCCACCAUCUCUCGGGACUUUCUUAGCUCAUGUAAUAAGCCACCGCAUGUUCCUUGUAAUGCUUGCCAGCUUGGGCGACAACCACGGCUACCCUUUUCUCCUUCUCUUAGUAGAUCAUCCGCCCCAUUUGAUUUAAUUCACUGUGAUUUGUGGGCAUCACCCGUUAUAAGUUUUUCUGGUUUUCAAUAUUACCUGGUUAUACUCGAUGAUUACACCCACUACUCGUGGUCUUUCCCACUGCGUCACAAAUCCGAAACAUCCACCGUUUUGCUCCGCUUCUUUACAUACGUCCACACACAAUUCCACAUCAUAAUCAAAAGCAUGCAAUGCGACAACGGCGGCGAAUUCAUCACCAACGCCCUACGCUCCUUCUUCUCCUCAAACGGCAUAAUCUACCGCUUCUCCUGCCCUCACACCUCCCCCCAAAACGGCAAGGCCGAACAGCUCAUCCGCACCACUAAUGACGUCCUACGUACCCUCCUCUUUCACGCACGUCUUACACCAUCAUUUUGGGUGGAAGCCCUUCACACUGCCACCUACCUCCUCAACCGCCGACCAUCUCGCACAAUCGCCAACAACACGCCCCACUACCUCCUCUAUGGCUCACCGCCGGCAUACGAUCAUCUCCGGGUUUUCGGAUGCAUCCGCUACCCUAACAUCGCCGCAACGGCAGCCCACAAACUCACCCCCCGCGCCAUCCGCUGCAUUUUCUUAGGCUACCCUCUCGAGCACAAAGGCUACCGUUGCUAUGACCUCCAAAAUCGCCGUGUCAUCGUCUCUCGGCAUGUCAUUUUUGAUGAGACGGUUUUUCCAUAUGAGCCACCCACACACCCGCCGCAUUUUGUUACGUCCACAGAAAAUCCCGCUGCAUGGAUCCCACCUACCUCGGCAGCGUUGGAUCCUGCACCCGCGCCUGCCGCGCCUUCUCCUCGCCACUUCCGCCGGCCCCAUGCAAUCUCCUUGGAUAGCCCGCCCAACAACCCCUCCGCGGCUCGGGCGCCGCCAGCCACGCCACCAACCAACGCAUGCACACCACGUACCCCUUGGCCCAGCCGGCGGCCCAAACCAGGAAGCAGGGCCGGCCCUGUGUUUCAGGAUGCACUAGGCGAACUUAAUAACAUGGGCCCCUAUAUCCUAAGAUCAUAUAUUUUUAGUUUAAAAUUUAACUAUAAUAAUUGACUGAAUCUAUUGAUAAUAAUAAUAACAAAAUUUUAACUUACUAAAUCGACAAUAAUAAUACUGAAAUGAUAGAGAAAUGAAACUAAAAUGAUAUGAUUACCUCAAAUAAGAACCAAGUUUCGACUGACUUCAUCGACAACAAUAAUAAUUUAAUUCUUCAGAAAAAGUUUCUUUAGGGGUUUCUUGAUGCAAAGUCAUUUAGGGCUACGUACUGGAUGGAUGGAUGGACUACGUACUGGAUGGAAAAGUACAUUAAAAAGUACUUGAAUUACUAAAUACAUGAAAAGUACAUGAAAAAGUAUCGGAUGGAAACCCUAGACAUACAUGGAAAAAAUACUUGAAUUACUAAAUAUAGAUGGAUGGAUGGACUACAUACUCGAUGGAUGGAUGCUGCUGAUUCUGCUGUUGAUUAGUGAUUACUCCUCAUUCUGAAUUUUGAUGGAUGGAUGGGGCAUUGGGGCCUCGUACAGCAGGGGCUCCUUCUCGUACAGAAUAGAUGCAAGAAUAGUGAUGUCUGCUCCUUCGGUCCUUCUCCAAGACUCCAACGCUGCUUGCCUGCUUCAGAUGCAGGUAGAUCGAGACGUCGCCGUGCGUUGCUGCGCAAUAGUGCUGUGUGCUGAUGGAUGGAUGUUGGAUAUCCGGUCUGCCGGUCGGCCGGCGCGCGCAGCGGCGGCAAGCCGGCCGAGACCCCGCAGUGCUGAAGCCGACGAUUCGUUUGACGAGGGCACUCGAGACGAGGCGUCGAGCCGUCAAGGCGAC
rnacentral:lncRNA from 1 species